rnacentral:rRNA from 1 species
UACAGAGGAUGCAAGCGUUAUUCGGAAUUAUUGGGCGUAAAGGGCUCGUAGGCGGCCAACUAAGUCGGAUGUGAAAUCCCCAGGCUUAACCUGGGAACUGCAUCCGAUACUGGAUGGCUUGAAUCCGGGAGAGGGAUGCAGAAUUCCAGGUGUAGCGGUGAAAUGCGUAGAUAUCUGGAGGAAUACCGGUGGCGAAGGCGGCAUCCUGGACCGGCAUUGACGCUGAGUGAGCGAAAGCCAGGGGAGCAAACGGG